rnacentral:rRNA from 1 species
AUAGGAAGAUAAAAGGCAUCUUUUAUCUUUUAAAAGACCUAGUAAUAGGUAUGCUUUAGGAGGGGCUUGCGCCAUAUUAGUUAGUUGGUAGGGUAAUGGCCUACCAAGACGAUGAUGUGUAGCUGGACUGAGAGGUUGAACAGCCACAUUGGGACUGAGACACGGCCCAAACUCCUACGGGAGGCAGCAGUAGGGAAUUUUCGGCAAUGGAGGAAACUCUGACCGAGCAACGCCGCGUGAAUGACGAAGUACUUCGGUAUGUAAAGUUCUUUUAUCAAGGAAGAAAGGCAAAUGGCGAACCAUUUGUUUGCCGGUACUUGAUGAAUAAGCCCCGGCUAAUUAUGUGCCAGCAGCCGCGGUAAGACAUAAGGGGCAAGUGUUAUCCGGAAUUAUUGGGCGUAAAGGGUGCGUAGGCGGUCUAGUAAGUCAGUGGUGUAAUGGCAACGCUUAACGUUGUCCGGCUAUUGAAACUGCUAAACUUGAGUUAGAUAGAGGCGAGUGGAAUUCCAUGUGUAGCGGUAAAAUGCGUAAAUAUAUGGAGGAACACCAGAGGCGUAGGCGGCUCGCUGGGUCUUAACUGACGCUGAGGCACGAAAGCGUGGGGAGCAAACAGGAUUAGAUACCCUGGUAGUCCACGCCGUAAACGAUGAGUACUAAGUGUCGGGUUAAACCGGUACUGAAGUUAACACAUUAAGUACUCCGCCUGAGUAGUACGUACGCAAGUAUGAAACUUAAAGGAAUUGACGGGACUCCGCACAAGCGGUGGAUCAUGUUGUUUAAUUCGAAGAUACCCGAAAAACCUUACCAGGUCUUGACAUGUUUUUGCAAAAUGAUAGUAAUAUCGUGGAGGUUACCAGAAACACAGGUGGUGCAUGGUUGUCGUCAGCUCGUGUCGUGAGAUGUUAGGUUAAGUCCUAAAACGAGCGAAACCCUUAUCGUUAGUUGCCAGCACGUUAUGGUGGGGACUUUAACGAGACUGCCAAUGAUAAAUUGGAGGAAGGUGAGGAUCACGUCAAAUCAGCAUGCCCCUUAUGACCUGGGCUACAAACGUGAUACAAUGGCUGUUACAAAGGGUAGCUGAAACGCAAGUUCUUGGCCAAUCCCCAAAAACAGUCCCAGUCCGGAUUGAAGUCUGCAACUCGACUUCAUGAAGUUGGAAUCGCUAGUAAUCGCGAAUCAGCAUGUCGCGGUGAAUACGUUCU